CACGGAGUUAGCCGAUCCUUAUUCAUAAAGUACAUACAAAAAGGCACACGUGCCUCACUUUAUUCCUUUAUAAAAGAAGUUUACAACCCGUAGGGCAGUCAUCCUUCACGCUACUUGGCUGGUUCAGGCUCGCGCCCAUUGACCAAUAUUCCUCACUGCUGCCUCCCGUAGGAGUUUGGACCGUGUCUCAGUUCCAAUGUGGGGGACCUUCCUCUCAGAACCCCUAUCCAUCGUCGACUAGGUGGGCCGUUACCCCGCCUACUAUCUAAUGGAACGCAUCCCCAUCUUAUACCGAAGUUCUUUAAUCACGAGAAAAUGCUGGCUCGUGGUACCAUCCCGUAUUAAUCUUCCUUUCAGAAGGCUGUCCGGGAUAUAAGGCAGGUUGGAUACGUGUUACUCACCCGUGCGCCGGUCGCCAUCAGUCUUAGCAAGCUAAGACCAUGCUGCCCCUCGACUUGCAUGUGUUAAGCCUGUAGCUAGCGUUCAUCCUGAGCCAGGAUCAAACUCU
rnacentral:rRNA from 1 species